rnacentral:rRNA from 1 species
CAGCCGCCGCGGGAAUACGGAGGGUGCAAGCGUUAAUCGGAAUUACUGGGCGUAAAGCGCACGCAGGCGGUCUGACAAGUCAGAUGUGAAAUCCCCGGGCUUAACCUGGGAACUGCAUUUGAAACUGUCAGGCUGGAGUCUUGUAGAGGGGGGUGGAAUUCCAGGUGUAGCGGUGAAAUGCGUAGAGAUCUGGAGGAAUACCGGUGGCGAAGGCGGCCCCCUGGACAAAGACUGACGCUCAGGUGCGAAAGCGUGGGGAGCAAACAGGAUUAGAUACCCCAGUAGUCCCUGUCUCUUAUAA